rnacentral:ncRNA from 2 species
GAAAUGCAUCAAGAGCGUAAUUGAUACGCACCAACCGAGCUUUAUGCUAUUGUAGCCACGGUGGUAAAAUGAUGUGGAUUGUCCAAUCAAAAAUCAAACAAUAU